UACGGGGGGGGCAAGCGUUGUUCGGAAUUACUGGGCGUAAAGGGCUCGUAGGCGGCCAACUAAGUCGGAUGUGAAAUCCCCAGGCUUAACCUGGGAACUGCAUCCGAUACUGGAUGGCUUGAAUCCGGGAGAGGGAUGCAGAAUUCCAGGUGUAGCGGUGAAAUGCGUAGAUAUCUGGAGGAAGACCGGUGGCGAAGGCGGCAUCCUGGACCGGCAUUGACGCUGAUGAGCGAAAGCUAGGGGAGCAAACGGG
rnacentral:rRNA from 1 species